UACGUAUGGGGCAAGCGUUAUCCGGAUUUACUGGGUGUAAAGGGAGCGCAGACGGCAUUGCAAGUCUGAUGUGAAAGCCCGGGGCUCAACCCCGGAAUGGCCUUCAAAACUGCGGGUCUUGAGUUCGAGAGAGGUGAGUGGAAUUCCGAGUGCAGAGGUGAAAUUCGUAGAUAUUCGGAGGAACACCAGUGGCGAAGGCGGCUCACUGGCUCGACACUGACGCUGAGGUGCGAAAGCGUGGGGAGCAAACAGGAUUAGAUA
rnacentral:rRNA from 1 species